ensembl:lncRNA
UCUGAUCUUCUACCACUAUUAAGAGUGGUGACGACGGGGACGGGUCGGCAGGAAAGGCCACAUGAGACCGUUGGAGUGACUGGAGUGGAGGCACACCACGAUCACAUGCAUCUACAUCUACAAAAAAAAAAACACCGAAAGAUGUGAGUGCUGAGCUCACCAGUGAGAGAAACACAGGGGGUUAAAGCCCAAGUACCAAGUGGGAGUGGGGAGAAGUCCAGAUUCAAGUCACAGAGUCUGCUUUCUCCUUCCUUCAGUGAAGAUCCCAGAGGCCUCUAAGCCAACAGUAGGUGUGGUGGUUACUUAGCAACCCUCCACGCAAACUGCCAGAGGACAAAGCAAGGGAGAAGAGGUUGAGUCCAGAACAAUCCCUGGUUCCCCCUCCUUCUCUGCUGGGAGUACUUAGACUUUAACCUUCCGCACAGCUCUCACACCGACCAGCUCAACAAUAACCUCUCAGCGCUGAAUCCCCUCUCAAGGGAAAUGAAGAACAGGGAUGGACAACACGUCUGUAACCCAUUCAUGGUCUACUCCACCCCAACAAGCCAGAAAAUAAAUUACUG